GCGCACCAGGCGCGAAAACUUUACAAUGUGCGAAAGCACGAUAAGGGAACUCUGAGUGCCUCCUAAGGAGGCUGUUCAGGUGUCUAAAAAGCACCUGAAGGAAGGGCUGGGUAAGACCGGUGCCAGCCGCCGCGGUAACACCGGCAGCCCAAGUGGUAGCCACGUUUAUUGGGUCUAAAGCGUCCGUAGCCGGCUGGGUAAGUUCCUUGGGAAAUUUGGCUGCUCAACAGUCAAGCUUCCAGGGAAUACUGCUCGACUUGGGACUGGGAGAGGUCAGAGGUACUCCAGGGGUAGGGGUGAAAUCCAUUAAUCCCUGGGGGACCACCGGUAGCGAAGGCGUCUGACCAGACCAGGUCCGACGGUGAGGGACGAAGGCUAGGGGCGCGAACCGGAUUAGAUACCCG
rnacentral:rRNA from 1 species